GCAUACUAUCCUUCUUUAUGAAUCUCAUGGCUUUAGUAAGGAAGAUAAUCAUUAUCAGAAAGACUCCCUACUAGAUGCUGGAGAAGACCAUGUACAGAAAUCAGAAGUACAAAGUUACUUUUCUGUUGCAGAGAUUUUGGGGUAUGUCUGCCAGGCAUUGAUUGCCACAGGCAUAACUGAAGUUCCACUUUCCUCACAGAGUUGCUUGCAGUACUUUGAUCCUGAUUCUCCAGCCAUUGCAGCUGCAAGCUGA
rnacentral:lncRNA from 1 species